GACGAACGCUGGCGGCGUGCUUAACACAUGCAAGUCGAACGAAGUGGCGAACGGGUGAGUAACGCGUAAUCAACCUGCCCUUCAGAGGGGGACAACAGUUGGAAACGACUGCUCAUACCGCAUACUGAAGGAGGGGCUUGCGUCUGAUUGGCUGGUUGGAGGGGUAACGGCCCACCAAGGCGAUGAUCAGUAGCCGGGCUGGGGGGAUGAACGGCCACAAUGGGACUGGGGCACGGGCCAGAAUCCUACGGGAGGCAGCAGUGGGGAAUAGUCCGGAAUAGACGAAAGUCUGACGGAACAGCGGCGCGGGAGGGAUGACGGCCUUCGGGUUGUAAAGCUCUGUUAGUCGGGACGCGGUACCGGAAUAGAAAGCCACGGCUAACUACGUGCCAGCCGCCGCGGUAAUUC
rnacentral:rRNA from 1 species